rnacentral:rRNA from 1 species
CAGCAGCCGCGGGAACACGUAGGUGGCAAGCGUUAAUCGGAAUUACUGGGCGUAAAGCGUGCGCAGGCGGUUUUGUAAGACAGGCGUGAAAUCCCCGGGCUCAACCUGGGAAUGGCGCUUGUGACUGCAAAGCUAGAGUGCGGCAGAGGGGGAUGGAAUUCCGCGUGUAGCAGUGAAAUGCGUAGAUAUGCGGAGGAACACCGAUGGCGAAGGCAAUCCCCUGGGCCUGCACUGACGCUCAUGCACGAAAGCGUGGGGAGCAAACAGGAUUAGAGACCCCAGUAGUCCCUGUCUCUUAUAC